CGAAUUUCCUCCUGCGAUUCACAGGUGGCGACACUGUUGCUGACUGCAGUGACGUCAGCGGCGCCGGCAGACGAAGCAGGCAAGGUCGCGGUGAGAGUGAAGCGCCACGUGCUUGGGACGGAUUUCUGCCACAUCGUAGAUCACAUAGAGGAGUUCCUGCACUGCCCUUGCUACGGCAGACGCAAGCGAAAUGCUGGCGGUUCGAUAUGCACAAAAUUGUGCAACUACUUAAUGGCAAACUGCGGCUAUACCCCCACUUAAAACAGAUGAGAAAGGCCCAUCGACACACGCCUAAAGUGUCGCUACACUAAUACAGCCAAGGCCGAAUUCAACUAGUGCUGGGCCUGGAGUAUAAUGUGUUAAGUAAAUCUAACACAUUUCUAAUGGAUUUACCUACUGACAAAUAGACUAAUGUCAGCACUCAUUAUUGUAUCAGGUUUAAGUGUAUACUAAAAAUAAACAUGCGUUUGUUUUUGACUUUCGGGACUGGAACAAAUUUUCGAGAUCUAGCCUUACUAUUUAUUUUCUAGACUAUUUAUCUAGACAUACUGUUAAUUGUGUGUGAAGCAAUUUACUAAACUGUAAAUGUGUUUGUUUUGACGUUCAGAAUUGAAAUAAAUUUUCGUGAUCUAGA